GCCAGGCGUGGUGGCUCACGCCUGUAAUCCCAGCACCUUGGGAGGCUGAGGCGGGUGGAUCACCUGAGGUCAGGAGUUCAAGACCAGCCUGGCCAACAUGAUGAAACCCCGUCUCUA
rnacentral:SRP_RNA from 1 species